GGCCCGUUAGCUCAGUUGGUUAGAGCUGUGCUAAUAACGCGAAGGUCGUGGGUUCGAUCCCCUCACGGGCCA
rnacentral:tRNA from 1 species